GAUGAACGCUGGCGGCGUGCCUAAUACAUGCAAGUCGAGCGAACAGACGAGGAGCUUGCUCCUCUGACGUUAGCGGCGGACGGGUGAGUAACACGUGGAUAACCUACCUAUAAGACUGGGAUAACUUCGGGAAACCGGAGCUAAUACCGGAUAAUAUAUCGAACCGCAUGGUUCAAUAGUGAAAGACGGUUUUGCUGUCACUUAUAGAUGGAUCCGCGCCGCAUUAGCUAGUUGGUAAGGUAACGGCUUACCAAGGCAACGAUGCGUAGCCGACCUGAGGGGGUGAUCGGCCACACUGGAACUGAGACACGGUCCAGACUCCUACGGGAGGCAGCAGUAGGGAAUCUUCCGCAAUGGGCGAAAGCUUGACGGAGCAACGCCGCGUGAGUGAUGAAGGUCUUCGGAUCGUAAAACUCUGUUAUUAGGGAAGAACAAAUGUGUAAGUAACUAUGCACGUCUUGACGGUACCUAAUCAGAAAGCCACGGCUAACUACGUG
rnacentral:rRNA from 1 species